AAGAGAGGUAAAGGAUGAACGCGAAUUAUCCAUCUCAAAGGCUCAACUCUGGCUGGGGAAAAGGAAAAGAUUUGUCGAGGAUCUGCACCAUCAAACUCUGCGGGGAAUUUUAGGUCAACACCAUAUCAAAUGGGAGACAACCUUGCAGAGGGCCUAAAAUGUUGCUCUAGAAUCAAUGUUGACUGAAAUCUGCUGGAGAGUGGAGGGGAAUCAAAAUC
rnacentral:lncRNA from 1 species